GGCUGGCCCUGUGCCUUUCAGUUUCGUUUCUGGCAGACUGGUGGGUGUUGUCUAUGGGUGCAGCCAUGGCAAAAGCAAAGGAAGAAUUUGGAGCCUCUUGUAGCUUAGAAGAUGAACUCAGCUGUUCCAUCUGCCUGUCCCUGUACAAGAGCCCCGUGUCACUCCGCUGCGGUCACAGCUUCUGCAAGCAGUGUGUCCAGAAGGUGCUCAGCACCCAGCAGCAGGACAAGGCCCCCUACUCCUGCCCGCUGUGUAGGGUCGAGCUGGGGCCCACCCUGGAACUGCAAAAUAACUUCCAUCUGUGCAGCAUCGUGGAGACGUAUCUGGCCAACAAAGGGAAGCAGGACGAGGGCUUUGCGAUGGAAAACGGAGAGGCAGUUCCCUGUGACUUCUGCCUGGACAAGCCCCAGCCGGCCGUGAAGACGUGCCUGAUCUGCGAUGCCUCCCUGUGCCAGGCCCACCUGGACAAGCACGGCGCCAGGGCCUCCCACAGGGACCACGUCCUGGUGGAGGUGGGCACGGGCGGCUCGAUGGAGGAGAGGAGGUGCCAGGAGCACGGCAAGGUCCUGGAGUACUUCUGCCAGGACGAGAGGCAGUUCAUCUGCGUGCUGUGCUCCAUUGCAGGGUGCCACAAGGGCCACAAGAUCCUCACCCUGAAGGAGGCCCAUGACAUGAACCUGGAUGACCUCUCUCACACUAUGGAUAGGCUGCUGAGAUACACAAAUUAUUUAUCUAUCGCCCUCCAGGAGCUUCAGCGAAACAAGAAUCAGAUUGAGAGCAAUACGAAAGCAGUGACUUUCCUGCUGCAAAGGAUGUUUGGAGAGAUAAAGACACAGAUAAAAAAUAAAGAGAAGAAGAUCUUCAGUGAUAUUCAAUCCAGUGAGAAAUCACAACUGGCAGAAUGCGCUAAACAGAAGAAAGAGAUGGAAGAAAAGAGAGCUGAGCUUGUGCAGCAUCUUCAGUCCUUGCAGAAGAUAAAAGAACAACCAAACACUUUCCACCUCGUCAAAGAAUUUAGGCUGGUGCUGGACAGCAUUUCGAGUCACAAGUUCAGGAUCUGUCUGAAGAUGGACGUGUCAGCGGUGGAACUGAACGAGACCGCUGUCAGCAGCUUCCAGACACUGAUGGGGGACUGCUCAUCCCACCUGGACACGUACCUGCAAAGUGUGCACAGACUACUCACUAACCAGAUUAAGUGGAAGAGUGAGGAUCCAGCUGCUGGUAGCAGUUCAAACAGUAAGUGUUCAAAAAUGCUCACUGUUCCUCAGGAGGCUGGCAUGGGGCUGUGCAUCUUGCAGAGAAAAUAUCUCACCUAAAAGUGUCAGCAACAUUUUUUUGUAUGUUUCUCUUCUCCAUGAGAGAGGUGAGACCAGCAGAAGUGCAGCCUCUGGGCACAGUUCACAAGAUCUGCAGAAAUCUGUGGAAACUUGACAGAGAAAUUAUUUAUCUUGAGCUUGAUGGAGAGGCAGGUUUUGUGUUGGUACUCAGUAAACGUCUGAGCCUGCCCCUGGGAAAGACCAAAGAAGAGUUCCCUGUGAGCAAGACCAGUGCCUGAAAACAUCCAGAAACAAAUUCAGAUGCUGCAGGAGAUAUUAAACCUGUAAACAGUAUUACUCCUCAGAUAUCCAUAAUGCACAAACAGCCUUCUGCUGGGUAGGAAGUGGUGUUUGUCCUAUAAAUUUUUUCUAAGGAAAACUUGUGUACAAGUUAGUUGAAAGAUUUAAUCGUUGCUUUUCUGCAACUGAAGUUCAUCUUACAAAAUAAGUUUUGUUCUGUUUCUCUGUUUUUUAAAUUCAAAGAAGUGACACUUUCUUCACCACUUUUUAAGUUUUGGAAGGGAAAAGAUUCCAUGGUGACAAGCAUUUCUAAUGGAUAGAUUGAUGAUAAAAUUUCACUUUGGAAAGGAUGUAGAGGAUUGAAAACAGUGCUGUCUUGUCCUAACUGCAGAUCUGUUUGUUUUACCAGGCAAAUUUGGGAAGAAAAAACGAAAAUAAUGCCAUAAAUUUCAGUAACUGGAAUAGAUGGAGAGCACAAGAGUAUAAUACCAACUGAAAGGAUGAAGAUGUGGACAAAGUGGAUGGUAUACGUAUUCCUGGAAGAAAGGGAGAUGCCAAAAAGCUCAGAACACGGAGAGAAGGAAGUUAAAGAUUGUCCAAAGUGUUCUUUAACUCCAGGUUGCCGUUAAGUGUCUUGGUCUUCCAUAUGAACCUCCUAUUAAAAGCAGUUCUAUAGCAAUGCAAAUUUUGAAAAGAAGUGUCAAGUAUUAACAUGAACAUAAGAAAAUCUCCAACUACAGCAUCUUGUAGCAUUAAUGUUUCUCCUGUCCUAUUAGUUGAAGUGACUGCGUUGCCAUUUUACAGUAGCGUAACCAAAUAAAGAGCUGUAGAUAUAAACAAGAAA